AUUGAACGCUGGCGGCAGGCCUAACACAUGCAAGUCGAGCGAGCGGCGGACGGGUGAGUACUGUCUGGGAAACUGCCUGAUGGAGGGGGAUAACUACUGGAAACGGUAGCUAAUACCGCAUACCAUCAGAUGUGCCCAGAUGUGAUUAGCUAGUGGGUGGGGUAACGGCUCACCUAGGCGACGAUCCAUAGCUGGUCUGAGAGGAUGACCGGCCACACUGGGACUGAGACACGGUCCAGACUCCUACGGGAGGCAGCAGGAGGGAAUAUUGCACAAUGGGCGCAAGCCUGAUGCAGCCAUGCCGCGUGUGUGAAGAAGGCCUUCGGGUUGUAAAGCACUUUCAGCGGAGAAGCGUUACCCGCAGAAGAAGCACCGGCUAACUCCGUGCCAGCAGCCGCGGUAAUAC
rnacentral:rRNA from 1 species